rnacentral:lncRNA from 1 species
GGUCAGCAGAGGUGGGCGUCCCAGCAGAGUGAGGCACGGGUUUGUUCACCCGCCAUCUCCGGCGCGUCACUGGUUCCCAAAAACUCCGCCUCUUUCCCUCUCUUCCGCGCCUUUGCUCUUUGCCCCGGGUGUGUCGGGGAAGGGGAGAUGUGGCGGGGACGGAGGGCUCAGGCGGGAGGGGCAGGUGGCCCUGGGGUGUUGGAAACCCUGGGCGACGCCUGCUCGGCGAGCUCCUUCCCUGCCCCGCUCCGUCACUAAGCGCUUCCUGACACGAGGAGGCCGCUCAUUCCGAGAUGGGAAGAUUCGGGUUCUAGGACCCAGCUGUCUGUACGCAUGUGGAGAAGCCCCCAGUCGCCUCCUCUUCCAUGUUAUCACCUCAGGGCGUUUAAACACUUAAUUUAAACACUUAAUAGUUCAGCAGCAGGGAAAUAAGCCACCACAUGAGCGCGAGUUCCAGUUCCCGGCCAAGAUCCUUGGGUGACAUCUGCACUGUGGCGUAGGCGUGGAUAUUUUCUGAUAACAGUGGUGAUAAGGCUUUCAGCUGAGGCUCCCCAGGUACAGGCCUGCCCAAGUCCAAGGACAGCGAUCACAGCUGUCAGUCAUCACUACACUGCUGGGGGCAGUACUGCUCUUAUCCCUGUUCUACAGAAGAGGAAACUGAGGCACGGUGCUUAAGGAACUGGCCCAUGGAGAAGCUUCAGCCUGAGCCUUGUGGAAGCCUUGAGUCUGAUGUUAGGACCUGCUCUCCUCACCACAUCUUGAAUGGUUUCCACUGAUGAAUAGAUAGAAGCUGUUGGAUUGAUCUCGCAUCCUGACAGCCAGUUGGCUGUCCAAUACUCUCACCCAACAGCUGUAUCUCCUGCUGUGCAGCAUCUUCUGUAAAUCUCCACUCUGUGUAGCCUUCGUUCAGUGGGUGAUGUUCACUGAGUCACUCAUUCAACAAGUAUUCAUGGAGGACCUUCUAAGUGCGGGUUCUCAGAACUGUGUGCAGCUCCACUGGGGAACAAAGCAGAGGUGCAUGCCCCCGUAGAGAGCACAGUCUAACAGGAGAGACGGGCGCUGAUCAAGUCACUUGGCUAUUAAAUGAAUUGUGAGACCUGACAGAAGUGCUCAACAGGAGCAGUGCAGGAGCGAGAACAGACAGCGGGAAGCCUGCUCCAGACUGAGAGUUUCUGCAACCUUCUCGUCUACCGUGAAACUUACACUUAUUUUGAGGGUUGAGAGGCACCAGCAGGAAACAGUUGCACUUGUGAAAGUAGAGUAGACAGUAGAGAGGAGGCAGGUGACAAAUAGAAAUGGCAAGCAAUAGAAUAUAUUGGAAUAUAUGAAGAAGCCAUUUGGUGUAAACCCAAUUCGGCCUGACUUUGUUUUUUCCAAAAGGGCCUGACUGUGGCCAUUGAGCAUCCAUUGUAUAUCUGCUUUAAAGGUUUGUUUACUAUGGCAAGAACAAAUGGCCUUAAGAUAAAGGUGCAACUUCCCCCGACAUUGGCAUUUCCUUAAGGAUAAGCAUCUUUCCUUAGGCUAGGAGCUGAUUGCUGUGCUCACCUUUGACCACCCAGCUCACCUGUGACCACCCGGCUCAAUACAACAGACCUGCCACCCUGCUGUGUUCACUGAGACAGCAGAUCUACCUGCUGUGUCCAUCAAUCGCUGUGCUGUGCCAACAGAGCAGUCUUGCGACUAUUGUAAAAGGGACAUUUCAAUUGUAUGCGAAACAUCCUCUUUGGGGGUAUAUAACCACUCUGUACACCCCACUUCUUUGGUGGCCUUUCUUUCUUCUGGAAGAAAGGCCCUGGGCUAUGGUCCUCACAUUUUAGCUCAGAAUAAACUCUCCCAAAUUUUCAUUUAUAGAUUGGCUAUGGAUUAUUUUCGUUGACACAGGGAACGCAGCGGUCUUUUCAUUAGAGCCGGGCAGAAACAAGGGGAAUGGGAUUCACAGCAGGCAGUGAGAGUCCAGACAGUCUCGGCUGCAGCAGGAGGUGUUUGGUGGGCCAGCAUCAGUGCUUCCUGCCCUUCCUCUCUGUGCUAGAAACAGGCACAGGGUUGAUCUGCCUGUGCAGAGCCAUUGUUCUUAUGGAGACCAGGAACCCAUUUGUGUUUGCAGAAUAAGAGCCCCAAAGAUGUCAAGGCCUAAUCUUCAGACGGUGAACGUGUUAGGUUAGAGGUAAAGGAAAUCCAGGCUGUCUUGGUUGCUACUCAGCUGACCGUGAGUGAGAGAUUAUCCUGGGUUACCAGGGGGCAGGGGCAGUGCCUGGCACAGCCACAGGGUCCUUCUAAGUGGAAGGUGCAAGAAGGAAGCAGAGAGAGAGUAGGGCGGGAAAGACUUGACCCACCAUUGCUGGCUUUGGAUGAGGAAGGGCUCCAGGAGGUGAGGAAUGAGGGCCGACUCCAGAAGCUAGAAAAGGCAAGCAAAUGACUCUCCGUGAAGGAACACAGCCCUGCCGAUGCCUUGAUUUUAGCUCAGUGAGGCCGCUUUCAGUCUCUGAGCUCCAGAACUAUAAGAUAAUAAAUUUCCUUGUUUUAAGCCAUUGCGUUUGUGAUAAUUUGUGCUGGUAGCAAUAAGAAACUAACAUGUCAUUCAAUCAUUUUUUCUUCCUGAAUAUUUCAUUUAUCACCUUGAUUUGUAUGUGAAACAAUAGGUUUGACUAUGAAAAUGCAAUUAAGAUUGCUUAAUCCUCCAGCCAGUCAAGUCCAAGCAUGUUUCUGAU